UACGUAGGGUGCGAGCGUUAAUCGGAAUUACUGGGCGUAAAGCGUGCGCAGGCGGUUUUGUAAGCCAGAUGUGAAAUCCCCGGGCUUAACCUGGGAAUGGCAUUUGGGACUGCAAGGCUUGAGUGCGGCAGAGGAGACUGGAAUUCCUGGUGUAGCAGUGAAAUGCGUAGAUAUCAGGAGGAACACCGAUGGCGAAGGCAGGUCUCUGGGCUGACACUGAAGCUCAUGCACGAAAGCGUGGGGAGCAAACAGG
rnacentral:rRNA from 1 species